AGAGACUGCUCGGAUAUUCUUCUGCUUAGGAAAGAUGUAAGAAAGGUUUUUAAUUUUUUUUCCAAGCAGAAGAACAUCAGAGCAGCCUCUUUCUUUUUCCUGACAACUUCCUUGACUAGAAAGAUGAACAGAAAGAAAUCUGUUUCUUGAAAGACCCGGCUAAAGACUUAUUAAACCUGCAAAGGAAAGAAGUAAGUCUUACCUUACAUCAAAGCACUUUGAUACGUUAUGUUAAAGCCAAGCAAAUCCCACGUGGUCUACGGUUAGAUAUUACUCCAAAUCUGUGUACCGAUGACCCUGUAUUAAUGCAACGUUGGCAUGAGAUUACGAAUAAAUGCAGCCUGGACUUAAUGGUUUUAAUGAUUGAACGGGUCCAUUUCAAACUUACCAAUCUUAAGAAGCAAAUUACCAUAUCAAAGGCGGAGCUAACAACGAAGAUUGGCAUUGAGGAAGCAGAACGGCUCCUGAUCCGCCAUAAUGAAAAUCUCGAGAGACUGCGCCAAAGUAUACUCGCACGGAAGGUGACGAAACUGGCCAGAGAUGAGGAAGACUCAUUACCCGAGGAGGGACAGACGUCUGACAAGACCUUGAAACUAGAAAAGUUUAAAGGAAACAAAAUGCUACAUUAACGGCAGAAGUAGGGUGUUGAUUUCGUGUGGAUUGUAUCAUAUUAUAUAUUUAUUGAAUGACAUGUGCACAUUGGACACUUUGUAACUGAAUCUUUGCACAGCUGAUACUAAUUGUAUCUUUUUUUUUUUGGCAACAUUGCACAGAACAGCACUUAUGAAUAAGAUUGGACAUUAACCCACAAGUAAAAGACAUGGAGAAAAGUACCUUUUAUAAGUCUAUUUUAAAAAAAUGUUUUUUAGAUUUUUACCUUUAAUUGUAUCUAAUUAUCCAAGAUUGGAUGUUGAAGAUCACAUGGGUGUGAGGGGUGUGUUUAAAGGUUCACUGUGUACCUGUAAGUUUACACUUGAGAAAGGGCAACACCUGCCUGAAACAUGUCGUGUAAAGCAGCAUGAAUAAUAAA